CUGCCCUUGACAUUGAUGGAAUCCUGCAGAGAUGCGGGAGUGCCUUCGGGCCCUGAAAACAGGUGCUGCAUGGCUGUCGCCAGCUCGUGUCGUGAGAUGUUGGGUUAAGUCCCGCAACGAGCGCAACCCCUGUCCCUAGUUGCCAGCGGUUCGGCCGGGAACUCUAGGGAGACCGCCGGUGACAAACCGGAGGAAGGUGAGGACGACGUCAAGUCAUCAUGGCCCUUACGGGCAGGGCUACACACGUGCUACAAUGGACGGUACAGAGGGUUGCCAACCCGCGAGGGGGAGCCAAUCCCAUAAAGCCGGUCGUAGUCCGGAUCGGAGUCUGCAACUCGACUCCGUGAAGUCGGAAUCGCUAGUAAUCGCGAAUCAGCAUUGUCGCGGUGAAUACGUUCCC
rnacentral:rRNA from 1 species